rnacentral:rRNA from 1 species
AUUGAACGCUGGCGGCAGGCCUAACACAUGCAAGUCGAACGAGUGGCGGACGGGUGAGUAAUGUCUGGGAAACUGCCCGAUGGAGGGGGAUAACUACUGGAAACGGUAGAUAAUACCGCAUACCAUCGGAUGUGCCCAGAUGGGAUUAGCUAGUAGGUGGGGUAACGGCUCACCUAGGCGACGAUCCCUAGCUGGUCUGAGAGGAUGACCGGCCACACUGGAACUGCGACACGGUCCAGACUCCUACGGUAGGCAGCAGUGGGGAAUAUUGAGCAAUGGGCGCAAGCCUGAUGGAGCAAUGCCGCGUGAAUGAAGAAGGCCUUCGGAGUGUAAAGCUCUUUCAGCAAGGAGGCGGUACUUACACAGGAAGCACCGGCUAACUCCGUGCCAGCCGCCGCGGUAAUAC